CAACUUGAGAGUUUGAUCCUGGCUCAGAACGAACGCUGGCGGCAGGCUUAACACAUGCAAGUCGAACGCCCUCUUCGGAGGGAGUGGCAGACGGGUGAGUAACACGUGGGAACCUACCUAGGGGUACGGAAUAACUCGGGGAAACUCGUGCUAAUACCGUAUACGACCUUCGGGUGAAAGAUUUAUCGCCCCUAGAUGGGCCCGCGCUGGAUUAGCUAGUUGGUGGGGUAAAAGCCUACCAAGGCGACGAUCCAUAGCUGGUCUGAGAGGAUGAUCAGCCACACUGGGACUGAGACACGGCCCAGACUCCUACGGGAGGCAGCAGUGGGGAAUCUUGGACAAUGGGGGAAACCCUGAUCCAGCCAUGCCGCGUGAGUGAUGAAGGCCUUAGGGUUGUAAAGCUCUUUCGCCAGGGAAGAUAAUG
rnacentral:rRNA from 1 species